CAAGCUAUCCAGUGAUGGAUAGUUGAGUCUGGCAGAAGUCAGCCGAGGUCAUAGUAGCGACCAAGGUCGCGAAGGAC
rfam:Lactobacillus mucosae LM1, complete genome.